rnacentral:rRNA from 1 species
UACGUAGGGUGCGAGCGUUGUCCGGAAUUACUGGGCGUAAAGAGCGCGCAGGCGGUCGUUCAAGUCGCGUGUGAAAGCCCCCGGCUCAACUGGGGAGGGUCACGCGAUACUGAUCGACUCGAAGGCAGGAGAGGGUAGUGGAAUUCCCGGUGUAGUGGUGAAAUGCGUAGAUAUUCGCAAGAACACCAGUGGCGAGGGCGGCUUACUGGUCCGGUUCUGACGCUGAGGCGCGAAAGCGUGGGGAGCAAACAGG